GUGCACCAGGCGCGAAUCCUUCGCAAUGCGGGAAACCGCGACGAGGGGACUCCCAGUGCCUACGCUCAGCGUAGGCUGUUCCCGAGCCUAGAAAGCUCGGGGAGUAAGGGCUGGGUAAGACGGGUGCCAGCCGCCGCGGUAAUACCCGCAGCCCGAGUGGUGGCCACUAUUAUUGGGCCUAAAGCGUCCGUAGCCGGCCCGGUAAAUGCCUGGGUAAAUCGUGAGGCCUAACCUCACGAAUUCCGGGUAGACUGCCGGGCUAGGGACCGGAGGAGGGAGAGGGUACUCCAGGGGUAGGGGUGAAAUCCUGUAAUCCCUGGAGGACCACCGGUGGCGAAGGCGCUCUCCUAGGACGGGUCCGACGGUGAGGGACGAAAGCCAGGGGAGCGAACCGGAUUAGAUACCCGUGUAGU
rnacentral:rRNA from 1 species